UGUGCCUUGACCGUGCUCCUUUAAUUAUGGCGUCGCCCUUGUACACAUGCAGGCAGAGGAAUUCUUUCACAGUAUCUGCUCCUGCAUUCUCAACCAUUUGGCUAUUAAGUCAAAGCAAAGCUCCUGUGUCACGUGUGCAUGGGGAGGGGAACAAUUGCCAAGCCACUGGGACAGAGCUCGUUUGGUUGGGUUAUUUAAUGCCAUGGAAGGGGAGUCAGGUUAUAAUUGGACAUAAUUAAUAUCGCCAUACCCUGAUUCUUCUGUACAUUCAAUUCACAUGACAACCCCAAGGAAAUGAAAAAUUCUUUCCUGCUAUUGAAUAAGGCAAACAUCUCCAGCUGAUGUCUGUAAUGAGAAAAUAACAGCUUCUGUGCAGAUAAGGUUUCAGAAGUGAGAUUUUGUCCAUGCAGCUCCCAAACCUCCACCUACCUUUUUGUUUUGUCUCUUUUUAAAGAGAAGGAGAAGUAAUGCUUGGGGCUCAGGGGCUUUGUCAAGACAAGGUUUAGGUGGUUCAAGGAAGUGGAUAUAUGUUACAGAGCUAUUUGCUGAGCUCAGCUGUAGUUGUGGCUGGCAGUUGGUCGGAAGGGGUGUGUAACAGGGAACACCUACAUUUCAGAACACAGCAAUGCCUUGUUAGUACUGGCAACAGAGGCCAAUUUCUUAAUAGGCCAAGAGGUCCUACAUUCUCUCCUUCAAUGUAAAUAUUUAAAAUUGAAGGAGGAGUUUUUUUUUCUUGUUAUGCAACAUUUUAAUAAAACAAGAAAAAAAUAACACUACCUAGAAAAGUAAUGGCAGGAAGAUACAUUUAGCUCCACUCAUUAGAAUUUGAAGACAGCACCACGGGGCUCAGCUGCCACGUUGACAAAGCUGUCCCCGUCUCUCCCACCCUUCCCUGCUGUUGCCACACAAAUACUUUGCAGCUGGCAGCCAGGGAGACCCCAAAUCUGGCUGCAUAAAACUCCAUGGAUGGAUGAAGUCCUUCCAAAGCUUGGCCUGCACACAGCAGCAGGACGUGUCUUGUCUCAUUUUCUCCCUGUGGGGAAGCUCGUCCUUUUAGCACGUGCCCUGGUCUCCAGUACUGCAAGGCAAUCUCGUUCUCCUGGACAAGUACUUUAAGAUCUAUUUAGGUGAAAAAUAAUGCACUUUUCUACAGGCCCUGCCUAGGUAUUAUCUACUGGUGCACAGAAAUCAUUACCAAGCAAGCAAGGUCAUGUUUUUCUGGCUACACAAAUGUGUCCAUUACCCUUGUCUGAAUUAGCAGCUUCAGGGCAAUGUCCCAUCUAUGCUCUGAAAGUACCAGAAAGGCAGUGGCACUGAACUGAUCUGAACACCAGCAGCAUUUGGCAUGCUCCCCAGAGCUGUCUGAGCAAACAAGGCAAAGGGGAAAAAGCCUGUCCCUCCCUCUCUCCACCUGCCCAGUGACUCAGAACAACUAGAAAUGGCAGCUUAACUCUCAGAAUACAGACCAAUAUAUCCAGCAGUCAGCGUGAGGGCAUCAGGAGUGCCAAGAAAGUGAGUAUGUUCAGCUGUUUUUGGGGAUGGGGGAAGGGAUGGGGACACGUCUACCUCUACAGCAAGCUCUGCCUGGCUGAUCCCGCUAAAUGAUUAGGAACAAGGGGUGCUCUAAAAUUAGCUCACCAGGGUGUAAUGGUUCUGAGACAAAAAAUAAUUCCUUUCUUCAUUUCUCUCUACCUUUACUGAAAAACUUUGUCAUUUUCCAGAUUUCUGGGAAAGAAAAAAAAAAAAUGCGUACAAACCUUCUGCAUUCCUAGUGAGAUAAUCUGGGCGGCCUGACUGAGGGCAAGGAGCCAUCAGAUGCCAGUGAGAGUUUCUGCUGAGCUGGACCUUAACCAAAACACUGACCUAUGGAUGAAAGAUUUCAUAUCCUAUUACCAGUUCCCAAGAUGCUAAUGGAGACCUUUCUCACAGUAUGAUGGAGCCAAAACCCAAAAAUGUAUUUUCCCCCCUGCUUUAAAAUGUUUAGGAGGAUAUUUUGGUAUUACAGAUUACAAGGAUCCAAUGAAGCAGUCACUGUAGCCUCAGCCACUAGAAAUGCUGGCAGCAGAGUCUUCCGAUUGCUGGGAAAAAAGAAAAAGAAAAAAUUAUUUGAAGCAGGAGAAAAAUCUAAGCAUAACCCGGAAGAUAACUUUUGUCUCUCAGCCAGAAAGAUGCUCCCAAGUGCUGCUGGAUCCACAACGCACGGCG